UAGCAGCACGUAAAUACUGGAGUUUAGGAUUGCCUAGCUGCUCUCCAGUAUUGCAUUGCUGCUUUA
rnacentral:pre_miRNA from 1 species